AUGUCGACUAAUGAUUUAGUUCACAACAACACUUUUUAUUUGGAUGGCACAAAUUAUCACCUAUGGAGAAUUCGCAUGCUUUGUCACUUUCGGGCCAUGGGUCCAAAUGCUUUGCGAAUUGUCCUUGUAGGAAUUUCUAUUGCAAAGGAUGGACUUUCUCCAUCUAUUGAGGAUAUGUAUCUUGAUUGUGAUACUUCUCUUAUCAUUCAUCAAACUUUAACCUUUGAAGUGUUUAAGGCAGUCACGACUUGCAAGUCGGCUCAUGAGACUUGGACCAAACUUGAAGAUGCAUAUGGUGGGUCCAAUCUUGAUGAAGAUAGUAUUCUAUUUGGGGAGUUGAUGCUGGAGUUCUCCACAUUUUUAAAUCAUGAAGAGCUCACUAUUACUUCCACCUCCAAUUACUUGCACACUUCAUUUCUUCCACUUCACCAUCAUGUGGCGUGCCACAAGGUAAUGACAUGGUGA
rnacentral:rRNA from 1 species